rnacentral:pre_miRNA from 1 species
AUCCGCCUGGCUCCCUGUAUGCCACCUGCGAAGCAUGCUAAAGGUUUUUGCCAGGAUUUGCAGCUGGCGUUCAGGGAGUCAAGCAGGC